rnacentral:rRNA from 1 species
CCUUUACGGGAGGCAGCAGUAGGGAAUUUUCGGCAAUGGGGGAAACCCUGACCGAGCAACGCCGCGUGAGUGAUGACGGCCUUCGGGUUGUAAAGGACUUUUGUCAGGGAAGAAAAGGCUGUUGCUAAUAUCGACAGCUGAUGACGGUACCUGAAGAAUAAGCACCGGCUAACUACGUGCCAGCAGCCGCGGUAAUAAGG